rnacentral:lncRNA from 1 species
GUGUUACUGGGCAACGACAGCACGAGGCAUGUUCAAACCCUACAGUCUAUGGUUCAAACUGGCCUCAGGACGCAAAAUGCCAGAUUUGCAGAUUACACAUUCAUUUAUCUCCACUCUGAAGAGGCAUAAGGAAUUCAUUGGAGUAAGAGGAAGAACGCAUGCGGAGAUGAUGGAGAUUCACAUGCAGAUUCACAUGGGUGUAUAAUAUAGAGCUUAAAAUAGAGAAAGCAAAAGGACCGCACUGCCCACACUCCAAGUCCUCUUGCCCCGAAAACCGCAUCUGACCACCAGGACCUCAGGGAAACCACGGCCUGAUGGAGGAAUAAAGACAGCCAGAGAGACGGAGAGGUGGAGAGGCUUUGGCCCCUCAGCUGCUGAUGGUGGUAUUAAGAUAUUAAUUGCUUUUUGACAUUAUUUGGUUGCGGGCGGCUUGGUGAGCCCAUGUUUUACACUGAAGGCCACACACACUAAAACACACCUCAUUCUGUAUUAGACUCAACACUGCAUCAAAUCGAAUGUUCAAAAAGGCUUUAUUUGACGAUACUGAGAGCACUAAAGUGUGGUGCAAAGUUUGAAGUGCUUUAAAAUGUGGGAAAUUUCAUGUAAUCUCAACGUAAACAUGAAGAGAGGGUGGGGCAUUUAGAAGCUCCAUAUAUAUAUAAAAACAGCCGAAAGCAUUUUGCUUUUAUCACAGGUCUGCCACUGAGAGUGGUUGAGCUUAAACACAUUAAAUGAAAAGUAAAUGAAAAUGGAUCUAAAGGGGGCGGGGCAUGUCAAUGAUUGGUCAGAAGGUUUGGUGAGAAACUGAAGUAUGAUGUAACGUCAAAAAAAUCAACCCAGGCUCAUUAUGGAUACAUACCUCUACAUACAUUUCUGGAGAGCACAAAAUAGGUCCCAGGAGCUGAUCUCUUGGAGUUUUUGUUUUCGCAAAGCCACCAGAGGCCGCUGUGUACUCUUUUUCAGAUCUCAAAUUUCUCUCACGAGUGCCAUUCACACCUGCUGUUCUCGCGUAAAUCCACCAGAGGCCGCUGUCGUCUAACUAAGGACUGACCAAUCAUCAGACCGAUCCCUCGACCAACCUCCUUCCCUAAACCCAACAGAAAGUGUUUUCAAAGGCACCAUUUGACCAGCGCCCACAGCCCUCCCUGAACCCAACCGACAGUGUUUUCAAAAGCAAUCCAGAAAAAGAUAAGCUGCCUGAUUUUUACCACAUUUUCAGAUCUUACCACAUUCUCACCCUGUUAUUUAUUUUAAUUUUUUUUUUGCCUUUGGUUUUUACCCGUUUUCUGGAACCCUUUUUAGCUGGACUCAAACCCUGUCAUCACAGUUUACUCUGAUUUGGGUCUCAAGUCCCCUGACAUACACUGAGAGCUACUGGACAAACUGGUAAAAGCGGAAAAAGCCGUCCAUAUCGUGGUAAGCGGCCAUCUGGUAGAGUAAAAAGAAACAGAAGCCGUCUGCAGUGUCAUACCGCCCCGUAUAGCAUUUGGUUUGAAGAUGAAAUGCAGUCAAACGCACCUUUGGCUACAUUAUCUGUGCUCUCCAGAAAUGUAUAUGAGGGUACAUAUUCACAAUGAGCCUGUGUUGGAAAAAAAAAUGUUAAUCCAUUUAGGUGGAAGUGACAAACUGCAAGCUUUGGAUGUUUAUAUCAGAUUUACAUCUUCUAAAUGCAAAUUUUGUAUUGGAGUUUUGUACGAACAUACUGAUACUAACAUAUUUGAGUUUUAAUUUCACGGGAUAUUUAAAGUUUUAAAACAAGCCUUCAGUGAUAUUAACAACAAGAUAUAUUAACAUUGUAAUAAUAAUAGUACGAAAUAUUACAAUAGCGAGGCAGUGGCGCAGUAGGUAGUGCUGUCGCCUCACAGCAAGAAGGUUGCUGGGUCGCUGGUUCGAACCUCGGCUCAGUUGGCGUUUCUCUGAAGAGUUUGCAUGUUCUCCCUGCCUUCUCGUGGGUUUCCUCCGGGUGCUCCGGUUUCCCCCACAGUCCAAAGACAUGCGGUACAGGUGAAUUGGGUAGGCUAAAUUGUCCGUAAUGUAUGAGUGUGUGUGAAUGUGUGUAUGUGGAUGUUUCCCAGAGAUGGGUUGUGGCUAGAAGGGCAUACGCUGCGUAAAAACUUGCUGGAUAAGUUGGCGGUUCAUUCCGCUGUGGCGACCCCAGAUUAAUGAAGCGACUAAGCUGACAAGAAGAUGAAUGAAUAUUACAAUAUAUUAUUACAAAUUAAACUACCUGAUUUCUAUUCAGGUCGUCACAGUGGCGCUGUGGGUAGCACAAUCGCUUCACAGCAAGAAGGUUGCUGGUUUAAGCCUCAGCUGGGUCAGUUGCCACUUCUGUGUGGAGUUUGCAUGUUCUCCCUGUGUCUCCCCCACAGUCCAAACACAUGUGGUAUAGGUGUUUGUGUAUAAAAGAGUGUAUGGGUGUUUCCCAGUGUUGGGUUGCAGCUGGAAGGGUAUUCGCUUCGUAAAACAUAGCUGGAUAAAUUGGUGGUUCAUCCUGCUGUGGCGACCCCUGAUUAAUAAAGGGACAAAGCCGGAAAGAAAAUUAAGGAUUUCUAUUCAAAUAUCUUUUAAAAUGUAAUUUAUUGCUGGUAUAAAAAGCUGAAUGUCCAGCAUCAUGAUCCUAAUCAUCAUCACAUAAUCCUCCAGAAAUCAUUCUAAAAUGAACGAUUUCUUUAGUUUAUUUUGUACAUUUGAUUCACCAACAUGUUUUAAAGCUCUUGCUGCUUUUAUUCAGUAAGGAGGUAUUUAGUUAAUUAAACAAACAUAAGGGAAUAUCAUAAUUGCAUCAAAUUAAGCAUUAAAUAACUAAUUGUCUUCAAAUCUGCAUAUUAGAAUGAUUUCUGAAGGAUUAAUGAUGAGUAAUAAAAGCAAAUUACAUUUUUAAAUCUAUUCAAAUGGAACUUUUGACCAUCACUGUAUAUUUCUCAUAUGAAUUUGCUGCUUUUCAUGCAAAUAUUGUGCAUUAAAAAAAAACAAUGUUUACAUGUCAGUUCAUGGCCAUUGGCAAGCAUUUUUUUUGCCGACAGUUUAAAGCCUACACCAGCACUGACCUUGUAAAGAUGCAAAAAUUAUGUAACCUGUGUGAUUCUGUACACCACAAGCUCAUAAACACCAGCGUUCCUGGUCAGGAUCACAGAGAUGGAGAAAGUAAAUCAGCAGGCGUUCGCUCUGAAGGACACACAGAACCCUAUACUUAAAUACUGCCGUCAUCUUCUCUGUGUCGUCAACCCUCUGUGUGUGUGUGUGUGUGUGUGUGUGUGUGUGUGUGUGUGUUUACACAGGCAAGCUUACAUUACAUGUAUCAGGUAACUCUUAAUGCAUUUUUAAAAGAAAUAACUACAAUGUUCAAAAUCCCUGAAUGGAUAUUAUUGGAUUCUGUGUGCUUUGCUGUGCUUUUCAUUGGCAUCAAUCUAUAGCCAGUACAUUCAUAAGUUGUAUUUGACAUAUUUUAAAGUUAAACAUUAAUUUUUACAUUUAGAAAUGAUUGUAUUUUGCAGAAUUUUGUUGUAUUAUUUUAUGUACCGUAAUUAGUUCACCCCAAAGUGAUAAUUUUUCACACACUGAAGUGGUUUAAAACUUCAUUCAUUUAUUUUCUUUUUUUCGGCUUAGUCCCU